UCCCCAGACAAGCUUUGUGUAAUUUACAGCCCUUUAUAUGCAUACAAUACAGUAGGCCAGGUCUAUAUACUCAAGUUCUGGCUAUUAAGUGUUUCAUAAUUGUUCCAAGUGUU